rnacentral:tRNA from 1 species
AUAAGGGUAUCCUAGUGGACAUGGCAUCUGCCCGGUAAGCGGAACACUGUGGGUUCGAAUCCCAUCCCUGGACACUUUAUU